rnacentral:rRNA from 1 species
GCAUCAUGGUACAGGUGAGAGUUGAUUGCAACAGUCACAGGGAUCAAAAGGAACAACAGGAUAAAAUAGCAAAGCAUAAAUCAUAUGGACACACAGAACUGAACGAGCAAGGCUGUUCAUUCAGGUUCAGAGGCAAUCAACAACAUUACUAGUGAGGCGUGGCCCUCUCGCAUUUCCACCGAUUAACACAACUGGCUAAGACAACGACGCGCACAGAGAAGCCUAGGCCCUCUCGACACGGAUGCGGCGUGCGAGCUGCAGAACAAAGUCUUGGUACUGUGCAUAUUCACUGAAGGUUAAACUUUUUUUACUGAAAUCCCAGCUGCAGAAGAAAGAAAGCACCUACUGCUGGUAGCAAAACCAAUAUGUUUAUGAGGAAUAUAUGGAUGUUUCAAAUCAGAAGACCAAGUAGAAUAGAUAAAAUUAGUCAGGAAUCUGUUGUAGCAUGGCAAACCCCUUGUUUCUAAAUAACAUGUAUGCUAGUCUGUAGAGCUAGUUCACUGGGAUUAUUACUAUGGUUUGUAUGCUAGUUCACUUUCCAUGAAUUUCCCUCUAAUUCAGCUUAUCGACGGAUGAUUUUUUUAAGAGAAAACUAACUUUACAUAUACGUCACACAUAGAAAAGGUCAUAUGCCAUAAGGUUUUCUGUUAAUUAGUGUGCUAUCGCAAGAAAACUUAAAUGAGAAUGUAGAAAAAGUAAAAAAAAUCCUGCAAGUCAUAAUAUGGCUAGUCUAUACGUACUGGAACUGAACCACUUUGAAUAAUAAAAGCAUCAGCAGGCAAAGACCAGAAGAUCAGAAUCUAUUGUCUCCAAGGGCUUAGAUCUCAAAGAAUAUAUAAGAUGCGUAUGCAAAAUAUGGCAAAAGGGGAACAUACCAUGCAUGGAGUCGCUGUUAUGAAAUUUCAGUUAUCUCAUCAUCCCAUUACGUAUUGUCCUUGAUGACAAUAAGGUCCAAUUUUGUGUUCAAUUAAUAAAAUUGAUGGAAGAACAAAAGAUUACUACCUGCAAAUAUGUAACGCUGGACAGGGGAUUAGAGAUAAAUUACAUGAGCAAAAACAUAUCUAGAUCCCAACCACUUACUGUAGGUCAUGUAGUGUAUUCCAUGGGUUGAGAAAAAACAUACAUCUACACUUAUGAAUCACAUGUGAUGGAGAUGAUUGGUCGACUAUACACUACAUAGAUGCCCUAACAUCGACAGCAAGUCCUUCAGAAGAAACAGUCAAAUUAUUAGCCUGACGACUAACCUGAAACUGAAAGCAACCGGCCAGGAAUGAAACAAGAUCUUUUCCC